GGGGUGGCGAGGCGAGGCCUACGGAGCGGAGGAAGACACUUAAAGAUGAAGUGCUUAAUUCAAGGUCACAGAAUGUCGGGGAUGGACCUCCAGAUUUCCUUACUGACCUGCAUUAUCUUGUGGAUACCUGAGUGAAUUCCACACCACCCAUUUUAUAGAUGAAGCCACUGAGACGUGGAGCAACUGACUGAGUAGUCACUGCCCCACCCCUGCCUGGAGCCUCACACAUGACUUCUCUUAGUGACCACAGGUUGGUUGAGGGGUUUAACAAGGCUAAGAAGAGACAGAGUCUUCUUGCUAUGUUGCCCAGGCUGGUCUUGAACUCCUAACCUCAAGCGAUCCUCCCAUCUUGGCCUCCCAGGUGUCAGGAUUACAGGCAUGUGCUAUCACACCCAACCUGAUACAUUGCCUUUAUAAAUUUUUUUUUCUUUAUUCUAAAAAACAGAAAAAACAAAACUGGAUACAUGUGCAGAACAUGCAGGUGAGACGUGGUCUUGUAACACAGUGGUUAAGAAUGUGACUUUGGAGCCAGCCUGCUAGGGGCUGAAUUCUGACUCAGCCAUUUAUUAACUGUGUGACCUUAGGUAAGUCAUUUACCUUCUCUGUCCCUCAGUUUCAUCUUGGUAAAGUAGGGAUAAUGAUAGAACUUAUUUUAUAGGGUUAUUGUGAGGAAUAAAUCCAAGUAAAAUGCUUAGAAUAGUAACUGAAACAUAGCACUCAUUAAGUAUGCUUUAAUUUUCAUUUAUUUGAAUAUUAAAGGUUGAAUUUUC
rnacentral:antisense_RNA from 1 species